AAUAUUUUUUUAAUAACAAUCAAUAAUAAAUAACAUACAUCAUUAUCAAUAAUCAAUUGAUAAUUGAACAAUUCUGUUCAUUUAAUCAUUUCUUUCAUCUAUUACUUCUAUAAUUCGAGUAAAAAAGCAUUCACCACAAUUCAAUAUUAUUUAAAUACAAAGUCGUUAAAUGUAGAAUAAUCAAAUAAUAUUGAUAAUAAACCUAACCAAAUUUAACUUCUCAGUGACAACUGACAAGACAACCCCUAGAAAUGACUGCAUGAACAUUAUCUUUCUCUCUCAUUCAGCAGAAACAUCGGUCUUUCGUUUCGCUGGAACCGAUGAUGAGGCAUCGAAUGAAACAGCGCUGAAUUCGAGAAACGUUUAAGAACCCAAUGGAUCCAUCGUACGCUGAACCAUCAAUAGUUUACGAAUGUAUUCGACAGCGCUGACUUUCCGAACUCGCCCGUAUAGAACAAAUAGAAAGUAAUUCGUGCACGUGCGCAUGCCUUAACUAAGAACUAACAAGAGAGUGCAUAAACGCCACGAAAUAAGAAUUAAUUCUUAGUUCGUAGUUCUUAGGAAUAGAUAGAAGGAACGGAAAAUAAACAUUUGAACCCGAUCCCGAACACAAGAGAGAUGAAAGCUUAGACGCGCCAAUCACAAUUGAGCUAGCCGAAUUGAAAACGUUGCCAGCUCUAUUUUCAGUACCAAGAAAUGAAUAUCAAAAUUUUUCUGACAAUUCAGAUAAAUUGUCGAUGUGGCAACGUGCAUUCGGGAAUUCUGUCAUUUUGUUCUGGCUUUAGACCACCUCAGUUGGCUAAUCUUCAUAAUUCCUUGUUUUAAUUAUUUUGUAUUUUCAUUUAUAACCAUUAGAAGUGAUAUUAGAUAUGACUUGCAAGUGUUUUUUUGUGUGGUUUCACUUAUAUUGUAGGAGGUGAAAUUAGUCUUCACAGACUUCCAUCGAAUCAACUUGAACGAGAAAAAUUGUUGCAGAGAAUUUCUUGGAACCGACCGAUGUUGGAAAAAAAAAUUUUUCUUUGCUCAAAUCACUUUUCUGAGGACUGCUUUCGACUAAUGAUCCUAUGAAAGAGGCUUAUACCAGGAAGUUUGCCUUCUCCUUCUGAAAUCAAAUUGGAAAUACCUUUGACCUACUCAGAAGGGAAUGGAACUAUUGACGCACAGGACUUUACAGAAUCUGAUUCUAAAACACAAGUGAGA